CCUACGGGUGGCAGCAGUGAGGAAUAUUGGUCAAUGGACGCAAGUCUGAACCAGCCAUGCCGCGUGCAGGAAGACGGCCCUAUGAGUUGUAAACUGCUUUUGUACGAGGGUAAACCCAGAUACGCGUAUCUUUCUGAAAGUAUCGUACGAAUAAGGACCGGCUAACUCCGUGCCAGCAGCCGCGGUAAUACGGAGGAUUCAAGCGUUAUCCGGAUUUAUUGGGUUUAAAGGGUGCGUAGGCGGUCGGAUAAGUUAGAGGUGAAAUCCCGAGGCUCAACUUCGGAAUUGCCUCUGAUACUGUUCGGCUAGAGAGUAGUUGCGGUAGGCGGAAUGUAUGGUGUAGCGGUGAAAUGCUUAGAGAUCAUACAGAACACCGAUUGCGAAGGCAGCUUACCAAGCUACUUCUGACGUUGAGGCACGAAAGCGUGGGGAGCAAACAGGAUUAGAUACCCCGGUAGUC
rnacentral:rRNA from 1 species